ACACUUGGUAAAUUAUCACACAAUGUGUUUGUACUCGGCUCUUGACAUUGUUAAAACAAAUAUUAAGAAAAAACAUUUUGCAGGCUACUCCCACAGUCAAGUACAAGUACACGCGGUGCUCUCCAAACUCAUUGCUGGCAAUACAACUUUCUAAGUAAUCGGAGAACAUUCUUCAUCACUACAUCUCAUCGUCUACAGCGUUUCAUUUUACGUAGCCUAGCCUACAAUAUCAUGAAGUAUCUUUCCAAGAACCAAAACACGUUCAAGGUAAACAACUAACGCGGUCAACCCGUGGGAAAGGAAUUUAGCAUAGUGUCUCUUGGUAAAUGUAGUUCUUUUGGUCUUACCAACGUUCUCGCAACAUUAUUGUGACGUUGCUGCAACGUAAUUUUGUGCGCUAGCCGUGGACUGUUCGACAACCACUUCCGUGUUUUCCACUCAGAACGUCCCUUUUGCGUUUACCUAGAAAGAUAGAAAUACAUUGUAGAAAGGUUUUUGUUGGUUAAAACUAACGUUAAGGAGAUCGACAGCUUACUACAUUUCAUGGAGCAUAAUAAUGGAGACACUUCUAGCUGGGCAAUGCAGCAACGAGUGGAAGGUUUGGUUAACAAACACAUGGCAGACAUAGCACUAGAAACACUCCAGCAGAGACUAUCAGCUGUGACCGACGAAAUGAAUAAUCUUGCGGAACAUGUUUCAAAACGCUCGGAGGAUAUUGCUAAAGAUGAUAUUCCAAGACGCACCGAUGUCAACUUUAACGUUGAGUCGCUCAGUGCCACGUUUAGCACGGGUGCUGUUGGUGAAAAGUUUUUGAUGCCAACAACCUCAUCACCAGCAGAGACGGCUGCACAGCGUAAAAUAAUCUCCCUGCUGAUGGAGAUCAAGGAGGAGCAGCAGAGACAAUGGGCUGUGUUGAGGGAGCUGCAGGCCAGAGUUCAGAGCCAGAGCUUUCCAGAGGUAGAGGAAGAGGUGGAGGCUCUUGACAUCGACAUCCCCCUGAGGACCAUGGAGCAGCUUGACGACACUGAGAGGCACCUGGAGGAUUCUGGAGCACAGAGAAGAAUGGUGUCUCAUCUGUCGCGAAUGGGCGGGGCAACGGUGGAUGAUGCAGUACGAAGGCUCAUGCAGGCGGUGCUAUCUUUUGCUGUGGGCUCCGAACUCAACUGGGUGGGCCGUGGCCAGAAAAGGAGCUUCAGAAACACCCGCCUCCAAGGAGUUCUCUUCCGUGCUCUGAAAAGAACCCCAGUAGGCAAAGAGGCCACACAUCAUCAGUUUGCAGAUGUGGUAAAGAAAUGGCUGCGGUUCGCCCCCUUCAGACAGGGAGGGAGUGGUCGACGGCAUUACAAACCACCUGAGUUCAUGUGUCCAAAGGAAUGUGUAGGUCUGCCUGCACAUCCGGAGUAACCCACAAUCAUCCUAUUUAAAUAUUGUAAAUUCCACUGUCCACAUGUCAGUAUUUUUCUAAGUUUGUAACAUUGCGUAAAAAAAGGAGAAAUGUCAUUAAAAUGUGAAAACAUGCAGGAGGGCCCAUGUUACUUCUUGGAAGGGCCUGGGAUUUACUUGAGUAGCUUAGACCCCUGCAGAAAUAUGUAAAACAUUUGCACUCAAAGUAUAGACCUCACACAGUUCUCAAGAGUCUGCCUUCAACGUCUAGACUACUGUAAAGACCCCAUUAACUCAUUAACAUCACACAUAUGCCUGUGGUGGUGGUAGGGGGUAGGUUAUCACGGACCAGUGUAAUACCUGUGUAAUUCAUUCAAAGCAAAAAAAAUUCCCUUUUGAUAAGUUCAAAUUAAUGCUUUGAAAAUAUUGAUUAGAAAGCUUGCCUUCAGUCUUUGACCAUGGUAAUGAAUAUUAGCAAACAUGGAUAAGUAUAUACUGGAUGUUAAUUGACCUCUAUAGCUAAAGAUAUUCUAUAGACAUUACAGUUAAUAGAAGGGCUAUGGUAUUUUCAUCUUCAUGAAAUCGGAUGCUUCCUGGUAUUUCAAAUUACUUUUGUGCAAAGUGUUUUUCAUAAUUGGCUCAUUCAAAGGAUUUGGAGUGAAUGUUACAGAAGAAAGUUACUGUGUUAAAAGCUAAACUGUCAAUAAAAUGUUAUUACUUGUAACAGCCAUUAUACAUUGUAAAUGUUAAUAAAUACAUAUUUGAAAAUAC
ensembl:lncRNA